rnacentral:lncRNA from 1 species
UUUAAAGGAAUCUGGAGCUGAUGACUCAAGAAAUGUCCUUCCUCCUAAGAAAUUAUCCUCCCAUCUGAGAUUAGCAGCAUCUAAUCUCAGUUUUCUCCACUGCUGACCAGCAUCAGCAACACAGUUCUAGUCCUGUUUUGGGUAUCAAAUCCAAAUCCUGUAAGCAAAAGGUCAAGGAUUCAGAAGUGAAAGGAAAGACUGUGGCUCUAACUUUGCCAAAGUGAAAAGUACAGACCUCUGCCAUCAGUGAAGAAAGAACCCAGAUCUGAUAAGAGCUUCAAACAGGCUCAGCACCUCCUGGCACACAUAGAGCGGCAUCACGUUGCCCCAAGAAAAUCACAUCUCUACACAUCAGACCCUUUCCAGUCCAUUUUGCCCCAUCCACAAAAUGAAAAUGCCACUUUAUUUACUAAAUCUAAAAAUUCUGUUGGGAGGCAAAGGAGAGUUGAAGAAUUUGCAAUGAAUUUAACCUGCCAGGAGAGGGAGUUUAACACCAAGCUUCCAGAAACAGGCUGCGUGGUAGCUACAACGUCCAGAAACCCAGGUUUCAACGCGGCCCUGCUUCAAGACCCAAAGGAAAUUCAGCACCAGGCGGGUGAAGUGACUUACCUGUGCACAGCUGCACUCGCAGACUUCGGAGCCCCCACCUAAUUCUAAAAUGCUGUAUGUCCAUGAACUUAAUAACAGAAGGUCAGGGGAGAGACGUUCUGAGAGCAACGGAAAUCUAUCUUAAGAUAAAGAUGUUUCUGAGGCUGAUUUUUCAAGUCAAACUUGAGAGAGAAAUUCAAAGGCUAUGUUCUCAUAUCAUAUUCCUGGGUUUGGGAGGUUCAUUCACAGCUUAAUCCUGUCCCCUGAAGUCACGGUUACGUAAGUAUGCUGUGUCACUUGCUGUCCCCACCCCCAACACAGGAGAUGCAGUGUAACCUGAGCUCCUCGGCUUGAGCCACUGAAAACACUUACACAACGCUGGGACCUUUCCAAAUUGACUUGUUUCCCCUUAAGAAAGGGCAAGCUAUUUGAUUUUCUUCCUUCCACUUCAUUCACAUUCAUAUUUCUGUAUAUACAGAAGAGACUGAAAAAGAUAAAUAAGAUUGAAGGGCAUUUGCAAAUUUUCUUCAAUUCUUGAGUAAAACAAAAAAGUCAACUAUCCAAUGUCACGGAAAAGUAACCAAAAAAAAAAAAAUUAUGGGCCUGCUUAGCCCCAAUUUAAAAACAUCACAUCUCCUGGCUGAACUGAGCUUAAGGUCCUUGGACGGGCUUCAUUUCCCACGUACUGGCUGUUUCUAGAGCCAGGCCCCAUACGCUACUGCCACGCGCAGCAUACUGCCACACAGAAGGGCUUUGGGGGCACAUGGGAAAUGGCUCUCCAAGAACACAGGAGACACAUCAGCAGUCUCUUCUGACUACUCUUCUUGCCCUCUCUUCCUUCUCUGGACUACUCCAGCUACUGGGCAGCUUCGAUUACGGAAUGAUGACUCACACGCAUUCCUGUCUUGUUUGCAUAUCAUGCUAUGACUAAGCUCCAUGAGAUUUGAUUUGUCUUCGCAUCCAACGAAUCUAAAAAAGUUUGAUACACAGUAAGAGUUCAAAAAAGUUCUCAAGUGAGUCAACAGCAAAACAAGAAUCCAUAAAAUUAUGCAAAAUGAUGCGAUUUUCAAACUAAAGCAUCAAGUAACUGUAUCUUAC